rnacentral:lncRNA from 1 species
AUAGGCAAAGGCCAAGGCAAACGCAACGCCUCCUCCUCUGCUUCUUCCUCUGCUGCUACUGCUAGUGCUAAUCCCUUCCUAGUUCCUACUGCUCGUGCUCAAGCUCAAGCUCCGGUCUCCAACCUCGAGGUCAAUCGCAGCAGGAGAGGAGAAAAGGAUGGAGGUGGAGAUGAUGGAGGACGACGUGUUCUUCGCCGAGCUCAGCAAGCGGAUAUCGCUCCUCAUCACGGACGACGACGAGGCGGCCGACUUCGGCGCCGCACGCUUCCCCGCCUCCGCCGCCGCGCCCAUCCCGGGAUUCUCGCUCGCCCAUGUGCCGAUGGGCGCGUCGAUGGUGGCGCCACCGGCCUACACGUUGUACCACCACGCCGCCAGCUACAACAACGGCGCCGGCAUGAUCGGCGCCGGCGACAACGCCGCCGUCAGGGCGUGGCAGCAGCAGCAGCAGCAGCUGUGCGGCAGCAAGGGCACCGGCGUGUUCAUCCCCCGGUCGUCGCCGGGAUCCGUCCACCCCAAGAAGAAGGGCAAGAGCAAGGGCAACGUGCACAAGGCGGUACGGGGCCAAGCGGCGCCGGCGAAGAAACAAUCCUCUCAAAAAUGAAGAAAAAAAAGAAAGAGAAAAAAAACAGGCACAACUAACUCCAAUUGC